AUAUAAGCUGAUGCACCUGCACAAAAUAAAUCUUGUGUGUUUUCUUAGAACUUGAAUGCAGUUGUGUUAUUUGUCCUCCCAAGUUGAUAGAACGUUUCAUAGGUAUAUCUAGCAGUCAAGCUCUGUCUAACAGGUUAUGGGCCCAGGAGCGUUUGACGUUUGUGCACAGAGAUAUCCGGCGUGAGUAGGCACCGAGAGACAUUUGUUUGUGAGCGAGUUUGAAUACGUGUCUCACGGAUUGGAGUGCCAGGGCCAUGAGCGAACGUACAAGUUCACGUUGGUCUUGUCUUGUGUUUGACGGAGACGAAAAGAACUAUGAACUGUGGGAGACUAAGUUUUUGGGCCAUAUGCAGUUGCAGAAAUUGAAGAACACAAUUUUGAAUCAACCAGCCGAUGGCGCGGAAGAAAACGCACUGGCCGAGGAUGCACGCGGAAGCAUACGCGGAAUUGAUCCAAUUCCUUGAUGACAAAAGUUUGUCUCUGGUCAUGCGAGAGGCAGCGGAUGACGGACGUGCAGCUCUCAGGAUUUUACGCAACUAUUAUGCAGGCAAGGGUAAGCCCCGCAUUGUAUGCCUGUAUACAGAACUGACUUCCUUGCAAAAGAUGAGUUUUGAGAGUGUGACUGAUUAUGUCAUACGCGCCGAGACUUCAAUCACAGCACUGCGUAAUGCUGGAGAGGUUUUAAGCGAUGGAUUAUUGGUUGCAAUGAUUUUGAAGAUUUUGAAUAAUUUAAGCCUUUUUCCAUUUUUAUCACUCAAAGUGAUGAGACUCUCUCUUUUGCCGAGUUCAAGACUAAGUUGCGCAGUUAUGAGAGCACUGAAAGUAUGCACACAGCUGCGGCUGACGACAAUGUCAUGGGGGCCCGUGCGCAUCCAAGUAGGGCUGCCCCAUCAGGUGCAAGUGCGCGCAGAACCGAGAGCGGGGACAUUGUGUGUUUCCGUUGUGGCCAGAGAGGUCACAAGGUAAGAGACUGUCAGCGUGGUCAACAGUGGUACAGCCAGGGCGAGAAUACCGCACGGCGAGGAGGAUGGCGACAGCGGCAGCAGGACAACGCUCGCGGAAUGUACGAGGAGACGGAUGACAGCACCUUCGCAUUCAAGCUUGUGACCAGCGAGCCAGGAAGCUGUGUCACCAGAAAGGGCCUGAUGGUGGACACCGGUGCGACAUUGCAUAUCAUCACUGACUUGGCAAAGUUCAAGAGCUUCGAUGACCGAUUCCAGUCCGAGACUCACUGCGUGGAGCUGGCCGAUGGCACAAGCUGCACGGGGGUCGCGGAGCGCAGAGGAGACGCCGAGGUGUGUCUACAGCAGGGGGCGCUGCCGCAGUGCCACACUGAAGCAGGCGCUGUACAUCCCCUCGUAUCCCCAAGACAUCUUCUCCGUGAGAGCUGCAACUUCGAAUGGGGCAACGAUGAUCUUCAAGGAAGGAGAAGAUGUAUUGCAGUACAGAGACGUGAUGCAGAUUGGGCAGGUGAUGCAACUGACCGACGCAGUACAACUGGUUAUUGUGUUAGUCUGAGUGAAAAUGGUCCUCUGAUUUCCUGGAAGACUAAGAAGCAGCCAACUGUAGCACUGUCAACUUGUGAGUAUAUGGCGUCGGCCGCCACCACACAAGAAUGUCUUUACUUAUCUCAACUGCUUAAACAUCU
ensembl:lncRNA